rnacentral:rRNA from 1 species
UACCAGCACCCCGAGUGGUCGGGACGAUUAUUGGGCCUAAAGCAUCCGUAGCCGGUUUUACAAGUCCCCCGUUAAAUCCACCUGCUUAACAGAUGGGCUGCGGAGGAUACUAUAGAGCUAGGAGGCGGGAGAGGCAAGCGGUACUUAGUGGGUAGGGGUAAAAUCCGUUGAUCCAUUGAAGACCACCAGUGGCGAAGGCGGCUUGCCAGAACGCACUCGACGGUGAGGGAUGAAAGCUGGGGGAGCAAACCGG